UCUUCUGCAUGCAAUUGAUCCUUCGAUUGGUACUUCAGAGGUAGAAAAUUUCCAAAUGUUAGAGGUUCAAGUGUAGUUGUGAUGCCAUGUUCAGGUGUAACGAGCUUAGGAGGGAUUGCAUGGACAAUCGAAGCAGCAUUCCUUCUCUUCCGAGCCAUUUCCGGCGACAAUUUCUCCUUGCUAAUGUGCGCCGGCGAUAGCACUGUUCUAUUGAAGCGCUAACGUGCGCCGAGAGCAUCCCAUUUUACCCUGUGUUCCC
rnacentral:lncRNA from 1 species